AUGGUCAGCAGGACCUCACGAGACAGAGGCCGGCUUCCCGUUGGCCUCUCCAGGAAGCAGGCACCGUCUGCCUUUCCCAGCCCUGACGCUGCAGUUGUCUUGUCUGGGGCCGGGAGUUUGGAAGCCUCUGGUGAGCCAGCAGCUCCCAGGAGGCUACAGGGUCACAGCAGGGGAUACCUCCACAGUCAUCGGCCCCCUCCACCCCUCCCCUCUGCAGCCGUGGAAAUACAGGCACACAGAUUCAGUCUCUUCACCCAACCUACUGAGGAUGCAACCCAGGCACCCUCUCGGACCAUUUCACACGUGUUUAUCACCUCCGGGAAUGCUCACCCGUCGUUCCAGCCCCCCAUCCUCGCACCCUGCCCAGCACAUGGUAGGAUCUGGACGCAGCCCCAGUUGAAAUCUAAGCACAGGAAGCGGGGAGAGCUCCGCAGAGACCAGGUAUUUAGUCUUCAAAGAGUCUACUCUUUUCCUUAAGAACAUCCUUUUUAAUUAGAUUUUAGGCAUAAAAAAAAAAUCAAUCCGGUGCUUUAUUUUAUUACUCUUCUGAUAUAUUAAACUGUGCCCUUGGUGGCUUAGAACUAUAACCAGAAGAGUCUAUAAAACAAAACAGUAGGCAAGUUAAAAUUGCCUAUAUUUUUAAAAAGUGGGUCCUUAACAGCCUCCUGCAGAAAAGGCCAAAGGCCCUAACAGACAGGAGAGAGGACACAGUUUUCUAUGGAGCCGUUUGCCUACCCAGUAUCCAUUCUCCCUUUCUUCUAGGAACAGACCCUUGAUUUUAUUCAGUGAUUAUAGCUAAAAAUGGCCUCCUGACUGCCAUGUGCUUUUUUCCUAUUCUUCCUCCACCUGCUCCUUGCUUGUUGCCCAGAAUGCUGAUGUGACAACUGGAGCUUCAGCAACUCUUUUGGCUCAUGAGGCACCUGUGAGACAGGAAGGCUAAGAGUCGAAGAAGAGAAAAAGAGGAGGAGCCCAGGUCCGUGGUCACCCUGUGGAGCUACCCAGGUAUCCCAGGACCUUGAACCUCUAGAAUGUUUUUUUUUUUUAACGUGAAAGAGAAAUUUCCAUUGUGUUUGUUGCAGCUUCUGUCACUCACACAGUUCUUAUCUGUUGCACAUGUCAUAAAGGAUCACGUAAGCACCAAUGUAUUUAUUUUACCCAUUUGGGUUUUUUUUUUAAUGUUUUAAAAUGUUUAUAUUUAUUUUUGAGACAGAGAGAGACAGAGCGUGAGCAGGGGAGGGGCAGAGAGAGAGGGAGACACAGAAUCCGAAGCAGGCUCCGGGCUCUGAGCUGUCAGCACAGAGCCCAAUGUGGGGCUCGAACCCACGAACCGUGAGAUCAUGACCUGAGCUGAAGUUGGACGCUCAACUGACUGAGCCACUCAGAUGCCCCGGGUUUUGUUUUUUUUUAAGUUUGUUUGUUUGUUUGCUUGUUUAUUUAGAAUAUAUGGGGAAGAGGCGGAGAGAGAAAGAAGGAGAGA
rnacentral:lncRNA from 1 species